CAACCUUCAAGCUCUGCUUGGUAUUGAGUGUCAUUUAAAAUGCACUUUAAAAUCAGUGACUAAGUGCUAUUUACUUUCAUGCGUAGUAAAUUUUCUCGCUUUGAAUAUUAAAUGUACUUGGCAAACAACCUCAUUUCAAAAUUUA
rnacentral:misc_RNA from 1 species